AUCCCAUGGUGAAAGCAUCUACAAAGUAACUCCUUGAAUCUUUCUCAUGCCUUCUAUAGGGACUCAUCAUCCAUCUGCUAAAAAAUGAUGAUCUUAUUCCGCAACUU
rfam:Gossypium hirsutum cultivar TM-1 chromosome 1, whole genome shotgun sequence